rnacentral:tRNA from 1 species
UCUAAUGUGGCAGAAUAGUGCGAUGGAUUUAAGAUCCAUAUAUAAAGUCCAACUUUUUUUAGAA